rnacentral:rRNA from 1 species
UACGGGAGGCAGCAGUGGGGAAUAUUGCACAAUGGGCGCAAGCCUGAUGCAGCCAUGCCGCGUGUAUGAAAAAGGCCUUCGGGUUGUAAAGUACUUUCAGUCGUGAGGAAGGUGUUAAGGUUAAUAACCUUAGCAAUUGACGUUAGCGACAGAAGAAGCACCGGCUAACUCCGUGCCAGCAGCCGCGGUAAUACGGAGGGUGCGAGCGUUAAUCGGAAUUACUGGGCGUAAAGGGCACGCAGGCGGUUAAUUAAGUUGGAUGUGAAAUCCCCGGGCUUAACCUGGGAAUGGCAUUCAAGACUGGUUAGCUAGAGUCUUGUAGAGGGGGUAGAAUUCCAUGUGUAGCGGUGAAAUGCGUAGAGAUGUGGAGGAAUACCGGUGCGAAGGCGGCCCCUGGACAAAGACUGACGCUCAUGUGCGAAAGCGUGGGGAGCAAACAGGGAUUAGAUACC